GAAUACGGCCACACCACCACUCUGAACACGCCUGAUCUUGUCUGAUCUCAUGAAGCUAAGCAGGGUCAGGCCUGGUUAGUACUUGGAUGGGAGGAAUAGAUCUUGAAUUUU
rnacentral:rRNA from 1 species